UCCUGAGAGCAGACAGCGCGGGCUGGGAGCGCCAGCAAGGGCGGCCCUCGCGCGCCUGGCUGCCAGCCCGCAGGGGGCUCGCACGCAGACCUGCCCUUGCCACCUCAGCGCUCGGGUGCGGGCUGGGGGCGGUGGAGCCAGGAAAGGUGGUGCCGAGAGCGGAGCGCAGGACAGCGCAGGAGCCCCGGCGCAACGCGGCGCGCACAGACCCAGGAUUUGUGAAGAGGUGACCCAAAUUUCAAGACAAUGUUGGAUGCAAACGGAUUUGCCAGCAAUUGCAUCACUGUCAAAACCAGCUCUGCCCGUGUCUUCCGAAGAUACCAAGUGAAAUACGUGUAGAUGGGAUUUACAUCUGAAAAACCAAGGCAAGAGGCCAUGGGAAGGGACGGAGGUGGAACAGGACUGGACAGGAGCUGAUAAAUGGUUGUUGCUGAGUACUGGGCAGAUAGGGGUUGGUUAUCCUAUUUUCUUUACUUUCAUAUAUUUUAUUUUUUCUGUAAUAAAACAAAUUAAAAUCACCUGUCAUGACCUCACAGGGGCCAGUGUGGGUUGUGGCAUGAGGCAGCAAGCUCUGCAGAGUUCCUUGGUCAAAAGGAUUAAUUACAAAAGAACUCCACGAGCACCGAGAAGAAGAGAAGGGAAUCCUGGGCAUUUAAAGCCACAAAGAAACUUGAUAUGGUCUUGUCUCUUUCUCUCAACUGACAGUGAGAAACUGAAGACCAGAGAGGGUGAGUGGCUUACCCAAUUUGGCACAACUGACCCCAACCUAGCCCUCCAUGAGGACUGAGCGCAUGAGAGAUCCUGAGCCACAGCCACCCAGCCCUGUUCCUCUCGAAUUUCUGACCUACAGGAACUGCAAGAAGUAAUGAAAGACUGCUGUUUAAAGCCACUGCAUUUUGGCAUGAUUUGUUAUGCAGUCAUAGAUAACCAGAAAACAUCGGAUUUACAUUUUAAGGUAAACUUUUUAUUGAAACAUCACAUACACACAGAGACGUCCACAAAUUGGCUCGAUGAGCUUUCUCAAAGGAAACACAUUCUCUGAGCAGUGUGCACAUCCAGACACAUCAUCUCCAUCCUCCAGAAGCCCCCUCCUGUUACCGCCACUCACAGGUCACCCGUCUCCUGACUUGCAGCCACAGAGAUAGUCCUGCCUAAUUCUGAACAUGGUACAAACGGAAUCAUACAGAAUGGGCUUGGCUUCUUUCACUCUGGGCUGUGUUUAUGAGCAUCAGCCAGAUUGCUGCAUGGAAGCCAUCGUUUGUUCAUUUUUACCACCAUAGAGUAUUCUACUGUUAAUGAGACACCGGCUAUUUAUUCCUUCUACUGUUGAGGGACACAUAGUUAUUUCCAGCUGGAGACUGGUAUAUGUCCCUUGGCUACCUUCUGCAUGCAUUUCUGUUGGAGAUUGUUUCAGGUAUCUCUUAACGUAUAACAGACCACCCUCAAAUUGAGUCCUUGAAACAAUUACCAUUUUCUUCUUUCUCAGGAUUUGGUGCAUGGGAUGGGCUCAGUUGGGCAGUUCUUCUGUUCCAUGUGAUGAUACUGGGGCUGCAGUCAUUCAGAGGCUCAACUGGGCUGAACGUGCAAGGUUUCUUGCUCACGUGGCCAUCAGUGGUGCUGGCUGCUGUUGGGAGCUCCACUGGACUUCUGUCCAGAGCUCCUCAGCUCACCUCUCUGUAUCCUUGCCCUGUGGCUCAGGCUUCUAACAAUACAGAGGCUGGAUUCCAAGAGGAGGGAAUUAGAAGCAUUCAGCCUUCUUAAGACCAGGAGUCAGAUGUCCCAGACUGUCACUGUAUUGACCGGAGCAUUUACAGGUCAGCCCAGUAAUUUUUCUAUCUUGGGCAGGAAUGGGUGGCAUAUGCUGGGGGUAGGGGUAGCAUUGUUGGGGAUCAUCUUUGGAGCUGUGUGCUAAGGAGUAAAUUGCUGGGCUGCUUUCUACCUGAGGAAGUCCACUAUGCUUGCUUUUGGAGAGUGGAUUGUGUGCUCAGAGUCCACAAGGAUUUAAGAAUCCAAGCCCUGCUGCCCUUGCCUCAGCCUGUGCAUUAGGGCCUGGUGGUGAGAGCACUGAGCCAUUGUGAAUCAAGGCCCCUCCCUCGACCUGCAUACUAACAGGCCAGAAGAGCUUGUUUGAUUUUGGUCCUAGGCUCCUGCCUGUGGGUUGGAUUCCAGGUGCACUCUCUCCUCCACAAACCAGACAGUGGCAGGUACAUCCCCUCAAUGGAAAUUGCCCACACUUCACCCUAAAGACAGAUCCUGCUGUUCAGCAACAAUGUGAGUGGCCCACACAUUUGUCCAGCAUGAAACCGUUUGCAGAUUCCUUUCCAGUACACAGUCCCGUCAGCCGGUCACAUCACGAUGCCAGCUCCUCGAAGCACCUUUUGGUUUGCAGUUGUGUAGCUUAGAAGUAGGAGCCUGCAUGGCUUCAGGAAUUCACAGAAGGAACACACUUUGUGCUUGGAGAAGUUAAUUAUAGGAAUAUCCUGCAACCUGCUGCUCUGAGCCUGUGCACCUGGGGUGUUUCCCUGGAGGUCCUGUGUAUGAGGAUACUCAUCAGCAUGGGGUUUGGGAAGCUAGAACUGGAGACAACCUAGGUGGUCCUCUCCAGGGGAGUAGGUAAGAGCCCUACAGCAGUGAAAAGCAUUGAAGGAAAAGUGUGUUCAGCAGUGCUCUUAAUCUCAUCAGAGCAACCUGAACACAUUCUAAACACAGGGCAUUUAGAACUAGGGUAGAGGCACUAGAGCACCAUAGAUACAAACUCAGAUUCUGAAGGUAAAUGCCCAGGUUCAAAUCCAAGCCCCCUCGCCAAGUGACCACGACUCCCCCGAGUCACCUGACCUCUGUGUUUACAUCCUCAAAGUUAAGUAGUCAGGAAAGGGGGCUUGGGGCUUGCCACAUGGAUGGUUGCCACUCUCCUUUGCAAAGUGUAGUCCCCAAAAACAGGUGGAAGAGGGAAGGGUCCAAUUAGAAGGCCGAGUACCAGCUGCCGUGAAUAUGCCAGAGCUGCUGGCUAGUGAUAAAUAACUGAAACCCAGGGGGACAGCAGAGCUAUGGUGACCAUACAUUCUAGGAAAGAAAAGAUGCCUGUUGUCCUGGCUUUUUAUCCAGCUUAGACAAAGAAGGACAAAGAAAAUAAUUUAGAAAAUGGUAGAGAUGGGCACAGAGAAAGGGCACUGAGGGAGGCACAAACAGAAGGCCAAGUGAUGGUGGAGGCAGACAUUGGAGAAAUGCCUUUGCCAGCCGGGGAAUGCCAAGGAUGCUGGCAACCCUGGGAGUGGGAAGAACCUGGAACACGCCCUCCCUCAGAGUCUCCAGAAGGAACUGGCCCUUCAUCACCUUUCGGACUUCUGGCCUCCAGAACUGGGCAAGAAAAUGUUUCUGCUGUUGGAGGCCAUCCAGCUGGUGGUCAUUUGUUAUGGUUGCCACAGAAAACGAAUAUAGAUUUAGACAUCUAAUUUGCAUAUAUAGAUGUGCAUGUGUAUUUGUUAAAUAAAAGAUAAAGCAUGAUAACUCAAUGGACAACGUUACAACUCAUUAAAUUGUGUUGGUUAAAAAAAA